GCCACCAUGGCUCAGUCGGUAGAGCGACGCACUCGUAAUGCGUAGGUCGCCGGUUCGAAUCCGGCUGGUGGCU
rnacentral:tRNA from 1 species